CAAAUUUUUUCUAUGACGUCACUCUCUUCAAUUUCUGAUUGUCAAUCUACCAAUCUCAAGCUCUUAUCGGAAUGGGGAAGUACGUCCCUGAUUUAUUUCAAUCAUCUUCACUAAACUUUUUCCCCAAUUAUAACCCUAAUCCUCACUCCAGUAUCAUCUUGUCUUCAAUUUAAUUUUUCUUCCUGUUUUUUCAUCACCGAUUCAUUGAUUCAUUUAAAAUCUAAUUUCUGUCUCUACUAUUGAAUUAGAUUUAGUGUAAAAAAUCAGCUUUGUUAUUGAAUUAGAUUUAGGGAAAGGCAGUCUUUGUGGUACGUACUCUGCUAUUGAAUUAAGUUAUAAACUGAAAUCACAUUGCAAGAAAAUUGUUUGAUAAAAUGUCUCUGAGAGAUAAUGAGUUGGAGAUAAAGAAACAGUUGAGAAAGCAACAAGAAGAAGUCGAUAAAGAUCAAAGACAUUGUGAUAGGCUAAAGGAACUACAGUUCGCUGAGACAUUGGUAUAGAAUACAAGCAAUAUAUUCAACUUAAUUGAAGUCUCAUAGCCCAAGAUGGUGCUCUUCUAUUUUUCUCUACAAUUAUUAGCAUAGCAUAAAUUUGCCGGACCCAAAGCCAAGUGUUGAUACAACGUCAUAAUAAUAAUAAUUACAGGUUGGCCCAAUUACAUUUAAGACAAAGUUUCAGCCACAUCUUGUGUCGACACUUGACCAGGACAUGUUGGAUGAUUCGUCAUUACCUUCAAAAACUCUAAAAGAAAAAGGAGAUCUUCUUUCAAAGAUAACAUGUCCUGAAAAAAGUUGUUAUUUGAGAGCUUACGGCAAAGGAGUUACUAAAACAAAGUUGGCAAUUACAUCUGAGAAAGAUGGUCAUAUGAUUCGAAUGGAAAAUGAUUAAAAAGAGUUGAAGGAAAAAGUGGCAGUUAUGGAGCAGUUGAUUCACUCUUUCAUGAAUCUCAAGUUGGAUGAUGAUUAUAGAGUGGGAGUGUUGGAACUCAAGGCCAAAGAUGCAAGCUUUUGGAUUGGAAUGGUUCUGGGAAUAUUGUUGCUUAUGGGUAUUUUAUUUCAAAUGAUCCAUAAGAUUUAGUUAUUGAUGUCUCUAUUGGACCAUUUGCCAUGAAGGUUGGUGUUGAUUUUGCAAGAUAGCGUGAUGCAUUUUUGUGGAGGCAAACUUCAGGGAUAACUUGUAUUAAAGAAAGUGUUGGAAGUGUUAUUGCUUGGCCAACCGACAAAGUCAUAAUGAGGUUAUCGUUAGGGGCUCGGAACCGGGAUCGUGCUCGAGAGUCGUUCUUAUUUAAGCUUUACUUGGAUCCUGAGGUUAUCGUUAGGGGCUCGGAACUGGGAUCGUGCUCGAGGGUCGUUCUUAUUUACGCUUUACUUGGACCCUGAGGGCUUGACUUACCAGUCAAGGACGAUAAUAACUCGUUGCGCGCUGGUCGAAGGGCUUAGGCCUAAACCACCAACAUAUUAUUACAUUGGUCGACCCUAUGAUUGAUGAAACAUUAAAGCGCUAGGUACGUUGGACUAGCUCUUCGGCUAGUUACUCAAGGCUAAGGGCAAAGGUCCCAGGUGACUCUAUAUUCACGUAGCUUGGGCAUAGGGCCCCGGGAUUGACUCUAUGGUCAACUGUUCAGAGCAGCAGCCCCAAAUUGGUCCAAUGACCAUCUGUUUGUAAUUGAAUUAUUGACUGUGUAAGGAGAAGGGAAAGCUUGAUCAGCCAUGAGUUGGAGAGCUUCGGUGGUGGCGUAUACAUAUGCGACUGCUCGACUACCACGGUCGGGGAUAUCUCAGAAGAACUAGGGUUAUAGCCCUGUUUUUGCCGCUUAGGCUGACUGAAUGUAAUUUUUGAUGAAUAUUCACCUUUUAAAAAAAGUUUGGUUGUAAUAUUUUGGGAUCCCAUAACUGUAUAAAUAUUUUCAAAUAAAAGUUCACGAUUGUUUUGACCAA